AAAAGCAAAGAUAAAAACGCAAUGCAUACUGAAAAGUAUGCUAGAGCCGGUUGGUAGCCCGGCCGUCCUGUUCAUCAGGGUAAGUAACCUGCCCCUCCGGGUUGUCCGUUCUUUGCUAAUCUCAA
rnacentral:ncRNA from 1 species